rnacentral:rRNA from 1 species
CCUACGGGUGGCAGCAGUCGAGAAUCAUUCACAAUGGGGGAAACCCUGAUGGUGCGACGCCGCGUGGGGGAAUGAAGGUCUUCGGGUUGUAAACCCCUGUCAUGUGGGAGCAAAUUAAAAAGAUAGUACCACACGAGGAAGAGACGGCUAACUCUGUGCCAGCAGCCGCGGGAAUACAGAGGUCUCAAGCGUUGUACGGAACCACUGGGCGUAAAGCGUGCGGGGGCUGUUUCGUAAGUCGUGUGUGAAAGGCGCGGGCUCAACCCGCGGACGGCACAUGAUACUGCGAGACUAGAGUACUGUAGGGGGAACCGGAAUUCUCGGUGUAGCAGUGAAAUGCGUAGAUAUCGAGAGGAACACUCGUGGCGAAGGCGGGUUACUGGACAGUAACUGACGCUGAGGCACGAAGGCCAGGGGAGCGAAAGGGAUUAGAUACCCCAGUAGUC